UCUUGGUCCAUUUAGAGGAAGUAAAAGUCGUAACAAGGUUUCCGUAGGUGAACCUGCGGAAGGAUCAUUACAAAUGACUGGGAUGUCCUAUCGGACCCCCAAGCAAACACAUCUAUGUGUACUCUGCCAUGUUGCUUCCCCAGACCAGUGGCCACUGCUGCCAGCCCAGCCCCUAAUGGGUUCCUGGGUUGAGGUGUCUGGGGAAGGGCUCAAUAUCAAACUUUUCAACCCACUAGUCGUCUGAGAAGGCCAUGUGCCGCAAUAUUUAAACAAGUUAAAACUUUCAACAACGGAUCUCUUGGCUCUCGCAUCGAUGAAGAACGCAGCGAAAUGCGAUAAGUAAUGUGAAUUGCAGAAUUCAGUGAAUCAUCGAAUCUUUGAACGCACAUUGCGCCCUUUGGUAUUCCUUAGGGCAUGCCUGUUCGAGCGUCACUAAAAACCGACUCACAUAUCGUGUGGUAUUGGUAGAAGUGGAUAGUACUAACACUACUUUGUCUUACUCUGCUGAAAUGAAUAGGCCAGAAAAGUGGACCAUGGUAAUAGAUUCCAGGAGUGUUUUAAAAUGCUAUACUAGUCUUAUCCAAGUCAUAUUCUGAGCCACUGGACCCCCCAUUUAGUCCAAACAACAGUGGUUGACCUCGGAUCAGGUAGGGAUACCCGCUGAACUUAAGCAUAUCAAUAAGCGGAGGAA
rnacentral:rRNA from 1 species